UGGAAGCCUCUGCUCGUCAGAUGUUCUAUGUGCUUAUAGAGAAAUUCAGUCCUCCAGAAGGCUUCUUCCAAGGUCCUGCUGGGCUUUCAACAAGACCAUUCUGG
rnacentral:lncRNA from 1 species